AGUGAACGCUGGCGGUAGGCCUAACACAUGCAAGUCGAACGGCAGCACAGUAAGAGCUUGCUCUUACGGGUGGCGAGUAGCGGACGGGUGAGGAAUACAUCGGAAUCUACUUUUUCGUGGGGGAUAACGUAGGGAAACUUACGCUAAUACCGCAUACGACCUACGGGUGAAAGCAGGGGAUCUUCGGACCUUGCGCGAUUGAAUGAGCCGAUGUCGGAUUAGCUAGUUGGCGGGGUAAAGGCCCACCAAGGCGACGAUCCGUAGCUGGUCUGAGAGGAUGAUCAGCCACACUGGAACUGAGACACGGUCCAGACUCCUACGGGAGGCAGCAGUGGGGAAUAUUGGACAAUGGGCGCAAGCCUGAUCCAGCCAUACCGCGUGGGUGAAGAGGGCCUUCGGGUUGUAAAGCCCUUUUGUUGGGAAAGAAAAGCAGCAGGUUAAUACCCCGCUGUUCUGACGGUACCCAAAGAAUAAGCACCGGCUAACUUCGUG
rnacentral:rRNA from 1 species